UUCAUCACAACAAACCAGAUCUGUGUCCAGCAGUCCUGAUCCAACCAGAGUAUUCGUACCCUGGCUGUGUUUCGGUUGUUAUUGCUGGACAGCUCGACGAUUCAUGGAGCCAUCAAGGAAAAUAAUUUUCUUAUUUAUCCUCAAAUGGUGUCAAUUUCCGGUCGACAGAUCUCAGAGAGAAUCUCAGCGGCCCGGUUCUCUUUUUAUUUUUUUCCCUCUUGGGAUAAAAUUUAAAGAGUUAAAUAUUUUGCCUUGAGCUCCCUUUCCGCUUCGGCGGGUUGGUGAAUUCGGUGAGAUGGCCGGGUUUCUUUGCUGAGGGCGUCAUAUUCCACCUCCCUUUACCGAUUUUUGUCCCUUUUUUUCCCUUUUGCUUGGGGUAAGGGAUGCGGCCGUCGGCUGAUGAGGUUAGGGAAAAACCAUGACUUGCCAACAUAU
rnacentral:sRNA from 1 species